UAAAAAGUUUAACAUUUAAGUGUGAAUUGUAGUUAAAGUGAAAUGAUGUCAAAUGAGUGGCUUUCUUGAAUUAUUCCCCUUGUACUUGAAACUAUGUUGGAUGUCCUUGCUUGAAUGGCAUGAUGGCACCUGGUAUCUUGUUUUUGGUUUGCACAUGGUUGGUAACAUGGUGUAAGGGAGCAAGUCAUGCAUAGAACCAAGCAUGGUUUGGAAUUUUUGAAGCCUUCUUGUACAUGAAAAAAUAUGAAGGUCAAGAUGAAGAGGCAAUGGGUGGAAUUGAAGACCGAAGAGAAUUAGUCUUAGGAUUAGUUUUAUUUUAGAAGUGAAGGUCAAUGGUCAAGGUCUAUGGUCAACUGUUGACCAAAAGUCAACAGUUUAUCCAAAAAGUCAACUAUUCUAAAAUGUAAUUUUUUCUCUCUUUUUGUAAUCUUUUGUAAUUGCACUUUUUAGCCUUGUAAUGACUAAAAUGACUUGUGAUCCAAGUGAUUUGAAUGAAAAUAACAACUUUCCUCCUUUUUCAAUUUGAAA